UAUUAUUUGUUAUGUAAAAUUUUUUUGCUGGAGUAGUAAAAGUUAUGGUCUUGAAACUUAAAGAAUUUGGCGGUAUUUUAGUCUUAUUAGAGGAAUCUGUUUAUUAAUCGAUGAUCCGCGUUGGACCUUACUUAAUUUUUUUUUGUAUACCUCCGUUAUAAUGAGAAUCUUUUUAAAGUUAUAAUUUUCUUGAUUUUUUUUUAAAAUUAUUUCAGGUCAAGGUGCAGAUUGUAUUUAAGUUUAUAUGGAUUACAUUGUUUUUUAAUUUUAUUUGGAUUUAUUGGUUGUAAUUUUUUGUUGAAAUUGGAUUUGAUUGUAAUUUUCUGUAUUUUGUUUUUUUGAAUUUGGCUCUAAAAUGUGCACACAUCGCCCGUCGCUCUCGUUUUUAUAA
rnacentral:rRNA from 1 species